ACUGCUAAGACUGGAUAGGAAAUAAAAAGGCAUCUUUUUAUUUUUAAAAAACCUUUUUCGGAAGGUAUGCUUAAAGAGGGGCUUGCGUCACAUUAGUUAGUUGGCAGGGUAAAGGCCUACCAAGACUAUGAUGUGUAGCUGGACUGAGAGGUUGAACAGCCACAUUGGGACUGAGACACGGCCCAAACUCCUACGGGAGGCAGCAGUAGGGAAUUUUCGGCAAUGGAGGAAACUCUGACCGAGCAACGCCGCGUGAACGAUGAAGUAUUUCGGUAUGUAAAGUUCUUUUAUUGAAGAAGAAAAAAUAGUGGAAAAACUAUCUUGACGAUAUUCAAUGAAUAAGCCCCGGCAAACUAUGUGCCAGCAGCCGCGGUAAUACAUAGGGGGCGAGCGUUAUCCGGAAUUAUUGGGCGUAAAGGGUGCGUAGGCGGUUUAAUAAGUCUAUAGUUUAAUUUCAGUGCUUAACACUGUCCUGCUAUAGAAACUAUUAGACUAGAGUGAGAUAGAGGCAAGUGGAAUUCCAUGUGUAGCGGUAAAAUGCGUAAAUAUAUGGAGGAACACCAGAGGCGUAGGCGGCUUGCUGGGUCUUUACUGACGCUGAGGCACGAAAGCGUGGGGAGCAAACAGGAUUAGAUACCCUGGUAGUCCACGCCGUAAACGAUGAGUACUAAGUGUCGGGAUUACUCGGUACUGAAGUUAACACAUUAAGUACUCCGCCUGAGUAGUACGUACGCAAGUAUGAAACUUAAAGGAAUUGACGGGACUCCGCACAAGCGGUGGAUCAUGUUGUUUAAUUCGAAGAUACACGAAAAACCUUACCAGGUCUUGACAUACUCUGCAAAGCUAUAGCAAUAUAGUGGAGGUUAUCAGGGAUACAGGUGGUGCAUGGUUGUCGUCAGCUCGUGUCGUGAGAUGUUAGGUUAAGUCCUAAAACGAGCGCAACCCUUGUCAUUAGUUGCCAGCAUGUCAUGAUGGGCACUUUAAUGAGACUGCCAAUGAAAAAUUGGAGGAAGGUGAGGAUCACGUCAAAUCAUCAUGCCCCUUAUGAUCUGGGCUACAAACGUGAUACAAUGGCUGUUACAAAGAGUAGCUGAAACGCAAGUUUAUAGCCAAUCUCAUAAAAGCAGUCUCAGUUCGGAUUGAAGUCUGCAACUCGACUUCAUGAAGUUGGAAUCGCUAGUAAUCGCGAAUCAGCAUGUC
rnacentral:rRNA from 1 species